AUUGAACGCUGGCGGCAGGCCUAACACAUGCAAGUCGAGCGGAGCGGCGGACGGGUGAGUGAUGCCUAGGAAUCUGCCUGGUCGUGGGGGAUAACGUUCGGAAACGGGCGCUAAUACCGCAUACUAUCAGAUGAGCCUCGGUCGGAUUAGCUAGUUGGUGGGGUAAAGGCCGACCAAGGCGACGAUCCGUAACUGGUCCGAGAGGAUGAUCAGUCACACUGGAACUGAGACACGGUCCAGACUCCUACGGGAGGCAGCAGUGGGGAAUUUGGGAAAAUGGGCGAAAGCCUGAUCCAGCCAUGCCGCGUGUGUGAAGAAGGUCUUCGGAUUGUAAAGCACUUUAAGUUGGGAGGCGUUACCAACAGAAUAAGCACCGGCUAACUUCGUGCCAGCAGCCGCGGUAAUUC
rnacentral:rRNA from 1 species